rnacentral:lncRNA from 1 species
UCCUAGCCUGUUCAAUCCCAAAUUUCAUCAUCACUUGUUCUGCUCUCUCUUUUAGAUCUAAAGUCCUGUCUUCUGGGAGGAUAUGCUUGAGUUGCAAUAAACUACCACCACAUCCAUCCGUUCCUUUUAGGGCACAGAUAAUGCUUCCAUCCUUAGUGGCAUUCCAAUCAGUCAGUGACUCAGCAUCAUGCCUAAACGUUCCCAUAUAAUA